AUGAUGGGCGGCGGCGAGCCGUACACGGCGCUCGAGGAGAGCCUUCUGUCCGGGGAAGCGGCGGCGAGGAGGCAGUGGGAGAAGACGUACCUGGACGUGCUGGGCGUGUGCUGCUCGGCGGAGGUCGCGCUCGUCGAGCGGCUGCUGGCGCCGCUCGACGGCGUGAGGGCGGUGUCCGUCGUCGUCCCCUCCCGCACCGUCGUCGUCGAGCACGACCCCGCCGCCGUCUCUCAGUCCCGUAUUGUCAAGGUCCUGAACGGGGCGGGCCUGGAGGCCUCGGUGCGAGCCUACGGCAGCAGCGGGGUCAUCGGCCGAUGGCCCAGCCCGUACAUCGUCGCCUGCGGCGCCCUCCUCCUCGCGUCUUCCUUCAGGUGGCUCCUGCCUCCCCUGCAGUGGCUGGCCCUGGGGGCGGCCUGCGCCGGCGCUCCCCCGAUGCUUCUCCGAGGGCUCGCCGCCGCCAGCAGGCUGACGCUGGACAUCAACAUCCUCAUGCUUAUCGCCGUUGCCGGUGCGGUUGCGCUCAAGGACUACGCGGAGGCAGGCGUCAUCGUCUUCCUCUUCACCACUGCAGAGUGGCUCGAGACCCUGGCCUGCACCAAGGCCAGCGCCGGGAUGUCGUCGUUGAUGAGCAUGAUCCCGCCGAAGGCAGUCCUCGCGGAGACGGGCGAGGUCGUCAACGUGCGCGACAUAGGUGUGGGCGCCGUCAUCGCGGUCAGAGCCGGGGAGAUGGUGCCGGUGGAUGGCGUGGUGGUCGACGGGCAGAGUGAGGUCGAUGAGAGGAGCCUCACCGGCGAGUCGUACCCGGUGCCCAAGCAACCGCAGUCCGAGGUCUGGGCCGGCACGCUCAACUUGGACGGCUACAUCGCCGUGAGGACAAUGGCCCUCGCCGAGAACUCCACGGUGGCCAAGAUGGAGAGGCUGGUGGAGGAGGCCCAGCAGAGCAAGUCCAAGACGCAGCGGCUGAUCGACUCCUGCGCCAGGUACUACACGCCGGCCGUGGUGGUUCUCGGAGCAGGGGUGGCGCUGCUGCCGCCGCUGCUGGGGGCGCGCGACGCGGAGCGGUGGUUCAGGCUGGCGCUGGUGCUGCUGGUGAGCGCGUGCCCGUGCGCGCUGGUGCUGUCGACGCCCGUCGCGACGUUCUGCGCGCUCCUGACGGCGGCGAGGAUGGGGGUCCUCGUCAAGGGAGGGGACGUCCUCGAGUCGCUGGGCGAGAUCAGGGCCGUGGCGUUCGACAAGACCGGCACCAUCACCAGAGGGGAGUUCAGCGUCGACAUGUUCGAUGUGGUUGGGCACAAGGUUCAGAUGAGCUAUCUUCUUUACUGGAUCUCAAGCAUCGAGAGCAAAUCCAGCCACCCAAUGGCGGCUGCGCUCGUGGAGUACGCGCAGUCGAAAUCCAUCGAGCCGAAACCGGAAUGCGUCGCCCAGUUCCGCAUCCUUCCCGGCGAGGGCAUCUAUGGAGAGAUCGACGGGAAACGCAUCUACGUCGGGAACAAGAGGGUCUUGGCGAGGGGAUCCUCCUGUCAGACAGUGCCAGAAAGAAUGAAUGGCCUGAAAGGCGUCUCGAUCGGCUACGUGAUCUGCGACGGGGACCUCGUCGGGGUGUUCUCGUUCUCCGACGACUGCCGGACCGGCGCGGCCGAAGCGAUUCGAGAGCUGGCGUCCAUGGGCAUCAGCUCAGUACUGCUCACGGGGGACAGCGCGGAGGCGGCCGUGCACGCGCAGCAGCAGCUGGGCGGCGCCUUGGAGGAGCUCCACUCGGAGCUCUUCCCGGAGGACAAGGUCCGGCUGGUGGGCGCGCUGAAGGCGAGGGCUGGGCCGACGAUGAUGGUCGGCGACGGCAUGAACGACGCCCCGGCACUGGCGACGGCGGACGUGGGCGUCUCCAUGGGCAUCUCCGGCUCGGCCGCGGCCAUGGAGACCAGCCACGCGACGCUCAUGUCCAGCGACAUCCUCCGGGUCCCCGAGGCCGUCAGGCUCGGCAGGCGCGCCCGCCGGACCAUCGCCGUCAACAUGGUGUCCUCGAUCGCCGCCAAGGCCGCCGUCCUCGCGCUCGCGGUCGCCUGGCGCCCGGUGCUGUGGGCGGCGGUCCUCGCCGACGUGGGGACGUGCCUGCUCGUCGUGCUCAACAGCAUGCUGCUGCUGGGGGAGGGGCGCGGGCGCCGCGGGAAGGAGGAGGCGUGCCGCGCCACGGCCAGGUCGCUGGAGAUGAGAAGGUCUCAGCUCGCCGCCGUUUCACCGGACGCUGCCGCUAAAAGCGUUGGAAAGACGGGCGGCGACGCAUCGAAAGGCUGCCAUUGCUGCCACAAGCCAAGCAAAUCUCCUGAGCACUCGGUCGCCAUCGACGUACGAGCCGGCGAGCAGCGUGAAAGCCCGACGGCCGCGACGUGUGCGCCGGCAAAAAAAGUCGAGGUCACCGGAUCUGUCAACGGUCCCGCGGCGCCUGCUUCAUCAAGCGGCGCGUCGGUAGGAUGCUGCCCUCGUGAAACAGAUAGCACGGAAGCGUGCAAGAAAAUGGCUCCUGCUGAUCUGGUGCUGAAUAUAUGUACUACCUUUGGUUUAUAA
rnacentral:rRNA from 1 species